rnacentral:rRNA from 1 species
UUAUUAUGAGAGUUUGAUCCUGGCUCAGGACGAACGCUGGCGGCGUGCCUAAUACAUGCAAGUCGAACGCUUCUUUCCUCCCGAGUGCUUGCACUCAAUUGGAAAGAGGAGUGGCGGACGGGUGAGUAACACGUGGGUAACCUACCCAUCAGAGGGGGAUAACACUUGGAAACAGGUGCUAAUACCGCAUAACAGUUUAUGCCGCAUGGCAUAAGAGUGAAAGGCGCUUUCGGGUGUCGCUGAUGGAUGGACCCGCGGUGCAUUAGC